CUUCAUGAUGAUACCUCACUUUACUUUUUUUCUGGUACCUCUUAUGUCAGGAACUGGGCCUCUUCUGGUCCAGCUUCAAUGAUCUUAAUGGACUUCUGAUU
rnacentral:snoRNA from 1 species